rnacentral:lncRNA from 1 species
AAGCUUGAUACCGAGAUCAAAAAGUCAGGGUCAGAUCUAGGGUUUUCAGUUUUCUUAAUUUCUCUAGAAAUGGCGCUCGAGUGGGUCGUGCUAGGCUACGCUGCAGGUGCAGAGGCGAUCAUGGUCCUCCUCCUCACCCUCCCCGGCCUCGACGGUCUCCGCCGGGGGCUCGUUGCUGUUACUCGCAAUCUCCUCAAACCAUUUUUAUCGGUGGUGCCGUUCUGUCUUUUUCUUCUUAUGGAUAUUUACUGGAAGUACGAGACGCGUCCGAGCUGUGAAGACGAUUCCUGCACACCUUCCGAGCACCUCCGUCACCAGAAAUCUAUCAUGAAGAGCCAG